GAUGAACGCUGGCGGCGUGCCUAAUACAUGCAAGUCGAGCGAACAGAUGAGGAGCUUGCUCCUCUGACGUUAGCGGCGGACGGGUGAGUAACACGUGGAUAACCUACCUAUAAGACUGGGAUAACUUCGGGAAACCGGAGCUAAUACCGGAUAAUAUAUUGAACCGCAUGGUUCAAUAGUGAAAGACGGUUUUGCUGUCACUUAUAGAUGGAUCCGCGCCGCAUUAGCUAGUUGGUAAGGUAACGGCUUACCAAGGCAACGAUGCGUAGCCGACCUGAGAGGGUGAUCGGCCACACUGGAACUGAGACACGGUCCAGACUCCUACGGGAGGCAGCAGUAGGGAAUCUUCCGCAAUGGGCGAAAGCCUGACGGAGCAACGCCGCGUGAGUGAUGAAGGUCUUCGGAUCGUAAAACUCUGUUAUUAGGGAAGAACAAAUGUGUUAGUAACUAUGCACGUCUUGACGGUACCUAAUCAGAAAGCCACGGCUAACUACGUG
rnacentral:rRNA from 1 species